rnacentral:rRNA from 1 species
CCUACGGGAGGCAGCAGUGGGGAAUAUUGGGCAAUGGGCGCAAGCCUGACCCAGCAACGCCGCGUGAAGGAAGAAGGCUUUCGGGUUGUAAACUUCUUUUGUCAGGGAAGAGUAGCAGACUGUACCUGACGCAUCAGCCACGGCUAACUACGUGCCAGCAGCCGCGGUAAUACGUAGGUGGCAAGCGUUGUCCGGAUUUACUGGGUGUAAAGGGCGUGUAGCCGGGUUGACAAGUCAGAUGUGAAAUCCUGCGGCUUAACCGCAGAACUGCAUUUGAAACUGUUGAUCUUGAGUACUGGAGAGGCAGACGGAAUUCCUAGUGUAGCGGUGAAAUGCGUAGAUAUUAGGAGGAACACCAGUGGCGAAGGCGGCUUGCUGGACAGCAACUGACGGUGAGGCGCGAAAGCGUGGGGAGCAAACAGGAUUAGAUACCCUUGUAGUC